AUUGAACGCUGGCGGCAGGCCUAACACAUGCAAGUCGAACGAGUGGCGGACGGGUGAGUAAUGUCUGGGAAACUGCCGGAGGGAGGGGGAUCACUACUGAAAACGGUAGCUAAUACCGCAUACCAUCAGAUGUGCCCAGAUGGGAGUAGCUAGUUGGUGGGGGAACGGCUCACCAAGGCGACGAUCCCUAGCUGGUAUGGGAGGAUGACCAUCCACACUGGAACUGUGCCACGGUCCAGACUCCUACGGGAGGCAUCAGUGGUGAAUAUUGCACAAUGGGCGCAAGCCUGAGGCAGCCAUGCCGCGUGUAUGAAGAAGGCCUUCGGGUUGUAAAGUACUUUCAGCGGGGAGGCGUUACCCGCAGAAGAAGCACCGGCUAACUCCGUGCCAGCAGCCGCGGUAAUAC
rnacentral:rRNA from 1 species